CAGAGCAUCAUUUUUUUUUAAAGUAGUGGGACAGUUUUAGGAGGAAUAAGAUAGAGAAGGACCAUGCACCCUAGUGGCUCAGUGGUAUAGAAGUAUUUCAGAGGAUAUCUCAACUAGACGAAGUCCCGUUUGGUAUUGAAUUUGAUAAGCAGAAGCUUAGGGAGUUUGGUACAAUUUAUAACUGGAUGAAGUGAAGCAUCUUCUGAGAAUUGCC
rnacentral:lncRNA from 1 species